UUGGUAGUAACUCAAUGGUAGAGUAGUGGUUUGUGGUACCAUUAGUUGAGAGUUCGAUCCUCUUCUACCACC
rnacentral:tRNA from 1 species